AGCCUUAAGUAAAUGGUUCAACAUUAUCUGCAUUCCUUAUUUGCUACAAAAUAUCCCAGAUUCAGAACAAGAGAUGUGUAUCAUACGUAAGUUGGAAUAUGUAUCUGUAAUCUACCCAAAGUUGAGACUGUCUCUAUAUCUUCAUAGAUGGAACUUCAGAAAGAAGUAAAUCAGUUCCUUUCAUCCCUGCGAACACAGGAUAUAAGGAUAGCAAGAAAAUCUGGGAACUCCAGUUGAUUUACCUGCUUCACAAACUCAUUAAAUACAGCACACAACAAUCAGCAGUCCCAAAGCUGGAGACAUCCAAGGUUAAAAUGACAGAAACAUAUGAAACUGGGCUUGCUACAUCCUGCUAGUGAACAGAGUGCAGUGCCUACACCAGUCAUCGUUUUACUAUUACCUAUUUCUUUGCAAGAAUGCUAAAAUUCAUCAACAUAUAUCAAUGAUGGAAAAUAUUUAAAGCUAUAAGUUAUGAAGCUGCUGAUGAGCACAASCUGACGCAGGUGGUGGCUGAUUCCUGUGGGUUGCCUUUCGCAGCCAAGAAGCUGUUGACCAUUUCUAUACGCCAGGAAACACARCUGUCUGUAAAGAUCAAGUAGCUAGACCCAAACACGCUCAGGUGUGAAUUCAUCCUCCCGUGACAAUUAAGAAUGAUGCUAACUGGAAAAGGAUGCUUAAUUCUAACUGUUAAGUGAGCUGAACCAGAAGCAGCCUGGAAGAGACAGAGGAUUAAAAUAGUGAAAGUUAAAUGUGCCAAGAAUGGCAAAAAUCAAAGAGCAAAAAUCCAAGUGCAGAGGCUCAUCCGCGGUGCGCGUGGCUGGCACACGAAGCACGUCGGAGUGGCACAGACUAGCGGGUGCUCUGGAGAGAUGKUUUGAUAAAAACAUUUAA
rnacentral:lncRNA from 1 species